rnacentral:rRNA from 1 species
UACAGAGGGUGCAAGCGUUAAUCGGAAUUACUGGGCGUAAAGCGUGCGCAGACGGUUGCGUAAGUCAGAUGUGAAAGCCCCGGGCUCAACCUGGGAAUUGCAUUUGAGACUGCGUAGCUAGGGUGCGGAAGAGGGAAGCGGAAUUUCCGGUGUGAGCGGUGAAAUGCGUAGAUAUCGGAAGGAACACCAGUGGCGAAAGCGGCUUCCUGGUCCAGCACCGACGUUCAGGCACGAAAGCGUGGGGAGCAAACAGG